rnacentral:rRNA from 1 species
GACGUAGGGCGCGAGCGUUGUCCGGAUUUAUUGGGCGUAAAGAGCUCGUAGGCGGCUUGUCGCGUCGUCUGUGAAAUCCCGCGGCUCAACUGCGGGCUGGCAGUCGAUACGGGCAGGCUGGAGUUCGGUAGGGGAGACUGGAAUUCCUGGUGUAGCGGUGAAAUGCGCAGAUAUCAGGAGGAACACCCAUGGCGAAGGCAGCAAACUGGGCAUUAACUGACGCUGAGGCGCGAAAGCGUGGGUAGCAAACAGG